AAAAAGACAAACCCUGGUUUCCAUGCCCAACGUUUGACCGUCCGUCUUAUUUGAAAAAAAUAUGAAAAAAAUUAAAAAGACAAGUCACGCAUAAAAUAUUAAUCAUAUUUUAUCAUCUAACAACAAUUAAAAUACGAAUUAUAAAAAAAUUUCAUAUAAGACGGACAGUCAAAGUUGGACACGGAAACCCAGGGUUUGCCUUUUU
rnacentral:pre_miRNA from 1 species